rnacentral:tRNA from 1 species
GAAGGUAUAACUCUGUGGUAGAGUACAUGCUUACCAUACAUAAGGUCCUGGGUUCAAUCCCCCGUAGCUCCA